rnacentral:rRNA from 1 species
CUCCGGUGAUCCCUGCCGGACCUGACUGCUAUCGGAUUGGUACUAAGCCAUGCGAGUCGUUGUAGCAAUACAAGGCGGACGGCUCAGUAACACGUAGUCAACCUAACCUAUGGACGUGGAUAACCUCGGGAAACUGAGAAUAAACCGCGAUAGAUCAUUAUGCCUGGAAUGGCUUAUGGUUCAAACAAUUUAUUGCCGUAGGAUGGGACUGCGGCCUAUCAGCUUGUUGGUGAGGUAAUGGCCCACCAAGGCUAUAACAGGUACGGGCUCUGAGAGGAGAAGCCCGGAGAUGGGUACUGAGACACGGACCCAGGCCCUAUGGGGCGCAGCAGGCGAGAAACCUUAGCAAUGUGCGAAAGCACGACUAGGUUAAUCCGAGUGAUUUCUGUUGAAGAAAUCUUUUGUCAGUCGUAAAACCACAGACGAAUAAGGGGUGGGCAAGUCUGGUGUCAGCCGCCGCGGUAAUACCAGCACCUCGAGUGGUCAGGAGGUUUAUUGGGCCUAAAGCAUCCGUAGCCGGCUACGCAAGUCUCCGGUUAAAUCCAGCUGCUCAACAGAUGGGCUGCCGGAGAUACUACAUAGCUAGGGAGCGGGAGAGGUAGACGGUAUUCUGUGGGUAGGGGUAAAAUCCACUGAUCCAUAGAGGACCACCAGUGGCGAAGGCGGUCUACCAGAACGCGUUCGACGGUGAGGGAUGAAAGCUGGGGGAGCAAACCGGAUUAGAUACCCGGGUAGUCCCAGCUGUAAACGAUGCAAACUCGGUGAUGCAUUGGCUUAUGGCCAAUGCAGUGCCGCAGGGAAGCCGUUAAGUUUGCCGCCUGGGAAGUACGGACGCAAGUCUGAAACUUAAAGGAAUUGGCGGGGGGAGCA